UCUUGGAGUGGAGGGGCACGGGCGUUGUUGGGCUCCAGUUCCAGUCUCAGGACAUGGUUCUCACUCAUCAUUGCUACCAUCUGAGGCCACGACACACACAUACAGAGCUCAGCCAGAUUACACAAAAACUCGUUUGAGCUACAGCUAGUCACUGAUCACAGGUUUAGCUAUUCAACUCUGAUAUUCAACUUGAAGGAAAAAAAAGGUAUCUUGUAAGAAUUGACCUUUCUGAAUCUGGUUUCUCUCAAUAUCUCAUCCAGUUCUAUCUCUAAGUGAGUGAGUUCUAUCAAGGUUUUCUCUUGAAUAUUCUGUUCUUCAAGGUACCUGCCAGAAGCAUGAAAAUGAAUGCAAUUAUCUGGUUAAUUGAAGCACUUCUACUUGGGCCUCAAAGAUCUUAUGUUAAUGAGCAACUAGGGUUUGUGCAUGCUAACAGAGGAUCGUUAGUUUGGGAGAAUAUCAUGUCAAAAAGGGAACUGGUCUCCAAGAUGUUGUCUUUGAAUCAUGUAAAAGAAGCACCUUUUGUUUUCCCUGUAACAUGGGUUAUUUAUUCCUACCGUGCCAAUUGCAGCACACAUGUAUAUGGACCUGAAAGAUGUUACCUUUGUAUCAUUUCCAGUGGCCUAGCGCCCAUCUCAAGACCAGGGCAGUCAGCAUGAUUCCUCUGAAUGAUAAGGAAAAAGUGGGUAAGAGAGGAAAAUUAUAAA